GACCGCGUAGCUCAGUUGGCAGAGCAUUGGGCUAGUAUCCCAAAGGUCGUAGGUUCGAUUCCCACUGUGGUCA
rnacentral:tRNA from 1 species